AUUGAACGCUGGCGGAAUGCUUUACACAUGCAAGUCGAGCGGCAGCGCGGGGCAACCUGGCGGCGAGCGGCGAACGGGUGAGUAAUACAUCGGAACGUGCCCAGACGUGGGGGAUAACUACUCGAAAGAGUGGCUAAUACCGCAUACGAUCUGAGGAUGAAAGCGGGGGAUCGCAAGACCUCGCGCGUCUGGAGCGGCCGAUGGCAGAUUAGGUAGUUGGUGAGGUAAAGGCUUACCAAGCCUGCGAUCUGUAGCUGGUCUGAGAGGAUGAUCAGCCACACUGGGACUGAGACACGGCCCAGACUCCUACGGGAGGCAGCAGUGGGGAAUUUUGGACAAUGGGCGAAAGCCUGAUCCAGCCAUUCCGCGUGCAGGAUGAAGGCCCUCGGGUUGUAAACUGCUUUUGUACGGAACGAAAAAGCUCCGGCUAAUACCUGGAGUCCAUGACGGUACCGUAAGAAUAAGCACCGGCUAACUACGUG
rnacentral:rRNA from 1 species